GGACCUGACUGCUAUCGGAUUGAUACUAAGCCAUGCGAGUCUUUGCAGUAAUGCAAGGCAUACGGCUCAGUAACACGUAGUCAACUUACCCUAUGGACGAGGAUAAUCUCGGGAAACUGAGCAUAAUACUCGAUAGAUCAUAAUGCCUGGAAUGGUUUAUGGUUGAAAUGAUUCGUCGCCAUAGGAUGGGACUGCGGCCUAUCAGCUUGUUGGUGAGGUAAUGGCCCACCAAGGCGAUUACAGGUACGGGCUCUGAGAGGAGAAGCCCGGAGAUGGGUACUGAGACAAGGACCCAGGCCCUAUGGGGCGCAGCAGGCGAGAAAACUUUGCAAUGUGCGAAAGCACGACAAGGUUAAUCCGAGUGGUUUCUGUUAAAGAAACCUUUUGUCAGUCCUAGAAACACUGAUGAAUAAGGGGUGGGCAAGUUCUGGUGU
rnacentral:rRNA from 1 species